GACCUGAUGGUGUGGUGGUUAACACGCCCGCUUAAAUUAAAAUUGUUGUGAUUUGUGCAACGCGAGUCCUCGGUUCAAACCUAGGUCAGGUCG